AAAGGCUACCAAGUGAAUACUUGGUAAUUCAUUACUUUAAAAUCACAAGUGAUAGUAGUAAUCAAUGAUAACUGCUUUCCUGUUUCUAGUAGAAAAUGUUUGUUGUUUGAGAGUAGCAGCUAAUGUUUUCUGAUAGAGGAAGGGCAAAUUUGGCAUCUGUAUUAGGAAUUUGCUUAGGCCUUUAAAUAGAUACAUUGUAGAAUUAUGACAAUGGUGAUAGCAAAUGCUAUUUGAGAACUGCCCUGGCCUUCAGUUUUUAAGUGGAAAGUUUAAGAAGAGUUGGGCUUUGACUUAGUUAUUUCACUUUAUGACAAUGGACACAUUUUGUUGUCUAAUGAUUAAUACUUGAGAAGCAAAUAAGAUAACUGAGGAAAGAAUUUGAGCGUAUUUUUAAGCACUUACCCUGUUUAUACCAUUGACUGGCAGAGAGAAUCCUUUUUUGGCUUCUUUAAGGAGUUUGAGGUGAGCAAUAUACAGGGGUGGGUGAAGUUAGGUUUACAUCUCAUAUGUAAAAUAAUACAGUAAAUAAUAACUCAAGAAUAAUUUGUUUUGUGUAACUGUAAACCUAGUUUUGCCCACUCUCGUAUGUAUUAAAAAGGAGUUAGAACUGGUGAUAUUUUAUCUAAGACAAAAUACAUCAAAGUCAUGUUUUUUUUUACAUUUUUUAAAAAGAAUAUCAUGUACUUAAGUACAUUUGUACAGUUGUGAAAAAUAGCACAAAGAAGGACAACACAAAUUCUUUGCUGUUUAUGUAGGAUGAUUGGAUAAAGAGCGAAGGAAAAUUUAUAUGUUAUCUUUGGGUAAGAAUAAAAAAUUCCAAGGAACCAUUUCAUAAAUAUUUUAUAUUUACUUGUAAGACAGUGUAAACAAUCUAAACAAAAGUUUCUUUAAAAGCGAGAAACGAGACAAAGAUUAUACUUAUGAUACAGACAUUUCAAGUAGAAUGUAAGCUGUGAUCAUUGUACAUUACGUUUAGGUCUUUGCAUUUUGAUUCCUCUCACUUUAGUGAAGAUUUUGUAAAGAUGAAAUUUCAGCUCUUUAAAGGAUAGAAAUUAAGAGUGAAGUCACAAACCUGGGUAACCUUCUAGAUUUAGAAUAUAAUAUCAGAAAAGUAUUAGUUGAAAUUUGGAAAUUUGUCCAAGGGAUCUUGUUAGGGACAGCUGACUAAAUUUUAGAAUAAACAAAGGAAAAAAGAUUAGGUUUGGGACAACAUAUUGGAGUAUGUUGAAACUGAAGGUGAAUAAAGUAGUAAUAAUUCAAUAUAAUUUCAGGGAGAUAGCUGUAGUGUGAGACGAUAGAAGUGAUAAUAUGUAAUAUAUAUAUUUCUUUGAGGGAUUAGGUGUAGGUUAUAAGAAUAGAAGCUACAGUAGCAAUUACCAUUUGUAUCACAAUUUACAAGAGUAUUUUCACAUAUAUAAAAUCUUGUGAUAUGGGUUGUAUUCUUUUCAUUUUAUAGAAGCUGAAGAGAAUAAAUUCAUUUAAGGGACUUGGGAGAAUUUCCUAAAACUGGUGAAAAGAACAAACUAGGCAUAUAAAUAAGUGUGUUUCUUCCCUGUUCCUUCACUUUAGUAUCUAAUGCUUGAGUAGCCAUGUGUGUGACUACUGACUUGGAGGAGCUUGGUUAAAGAAGCAGGAGUAUCACUGUAGGUCAACAAUGUUUGAAUGAAGUAGGUUUCUUUGGGACUGGAUAUAAAGCCACAUACUCUCUGGUAAGGAAUGUCUUCACAUAGGAGUUAGCUUUCAAAAUGAGCUUUGAAGAAAGGAGCAGAGAUUUGAUAGAUCAGAGUUGAGCUGAUGUGGGGUACUAAAUUAAAAGAUAAUAUUGUUUUGUAUUGGUAAUAAGGGGGUUAGAUAAAAUUCAAAUUUUGGGGGGUAGUAUUCAAGCCACCUUCUUCUUUUAGUCUUUACCCAUCUGUCUGCAUUUGGACUGGUACCUGCUUUCCACUGCAGGAAACAUAGUACUUGUCCAUUCUUUGUUCUCAGGACUUUGCUUAUUCAGAGAUUCUCUUAAAUGCCUCCACUUUUCAAGGUUUUGGCUUGUAUCAAUCUUCAGUAACCCUUCUGAACUCACUAUUUGCCUUCAUUCUUCUUUGCCUUUAGCAUAAGCUGCACAAUUCCUUACCUUUCUGUUUGUUGAAAAUUGACCUAAGACACUAGGUUGAAGUGGCUGAGGCUUAGUUAUUCAUUCACAGCUUGGCUAAUACACUUUAAUAAAAUCAGUCUCGGGUUAAAUUCUAACACAAAUAUAGACUUUAAACAUAUAUGAGUAAGCUAGUGCAAAAUAGUACAUAUAACCUUUGUAGGUAUGAUAAAAUGUAAACUGACAGCACUUUGAUGAAAGGUUCAUUUGAGGGAAUUUCAACAAUAUUCUAGAGGUUCAUUUGAGGGAAUUUCAACAAUGUCACCAUUAUAAUUGGCAAUAGCCAAACAGAAUCCUAUGACUCAGUGGAUAGACACAGCCAUUUAGGGAUCAGGCAUUGAAAAUCAUUCCCAGGAGUGUGGGCUAUAGAUUUUGUUAGCUUCUUAUACUCUGUUCAUGCAAGGAGGAGGGUUGAUUCUAAAAUAUUUUUGUUAACCAACAUUUUUAAUACUCUACUGACUUCACCAGUGAGAGAGAGUGUAUUCUUAUAAACAAGCCACUAAUUUCAUUAUUAUAUUAGCAAAAUGUCUGGAGUGAUCAGAGAUACAAGGAUAGGUGAAGCACUUGUCAAAGAGGAGGGAAGAUGCUACAUUGCUGAUGAUGAAAGACAGGACUGUGAUCCAAGAUAUUUAAGGUGGCCUUUAGAAAUUGGAAAGGGCAGGGAAACAGAUUCUCCUUUAGGGCCUCCAGGAGCAGGGAAACAGAUUCUCCUUUAGGGCCACACUCUUAUUUUAGCCCAGUGAAAUUGAUUUUGGAUGUCUGACCUUCAGAACUGUAAGAUAAUAAAUCUGUAUUGUUUUAAGGCACUAAGUAUGUGGUGAUUUGUUACAGCAGUGUAGGAAACUAGUACAGUUUAUCAUAGUUUGAAGAGAGAUGGGAAGAGAUUUUUCCCUCCAUCUUUUGGGGGAGAUCUUGGUUUAAACUCCAGAGAAAAGAUUUACCUUUCCUUAUGUAGGUCUCUACUCUUCAUUCACAAAGUGUGCAGAAUAAAGUGCCCACUUAAAGGGGUUUGGGGCUAGAGGUAAGCAAGGCCAUUCAGUACAUAAGGAGGUAAAGGGUUCAUGAAGUGUCAGAUUUUUCUGGGAAAAUCACUUCUGUUUUUAAAUGUACGUGGUUGUAUUUACAGAGGUGAUGUACAGUUCUUAGAAAUUUCAGAAAUCAUGAAAAUUAGCUAUCAUAGUAGGCCAUUUUGGGGAAUAGGGUUCCCAAAACAGGAUUUAAGGAACAGGAUUUUCCUUAAGC